rnacentral:rRNA from 1 species
AACGAACGCUGGCGGCAUGCCUAACACAUGCAAGUCGAACGGGAUCCUAGCUUGCUAGGUGAGAGUGGCGGACGGGUGAGUAACACGUGGGAAUCUGCCUUUUGGUUCGGGAUAACCGCGGGAAACUGCGGCUAAUACCGAAUGCCCUCGAGAGAGGAAAGAUUUAUCGCCAGAAGAGGAGCCCGCGUCCGAUUAGGUAGUUGGUGGGGUAAAGCCUACCAAGCCGACGAUCGGUAGCUGGUCUGAGAGGAUGAUCAGCCACACUGGGACUGAGAUACGGCCCAGACUCCUACGGGAGCAGCAGUGGGGAAUAUUGGACAAUGGGGCAACCCUGAUCCAGCAAUAGCCGCGUGAGUGAUGAAGGCCUUAGGG